rnacentral:rRNA from 1 species
CCUACGGGGGGCAGCAGUAGGGAAUCUUCCACAAUGGGCGAAAGCCUGAUGGAGCAACGCCGCGUGGGUGAAGAAGGUCUUCGGAUCGUAAAACUCUGUUGUUAGAGAAGAAAGUGCGUGAGAGUAACUGUUCACGUUUCGACGGUAUCUAACCAGAAAGCCACGUCUAACUACGUGCCAGCAGCCGCGGUAAUACGUAGGUGGCAAGCGUUAUCCGGAUUUAUUGGGCGUAAAGGGAACGCAGGCGGUCUUUUAAGUCUGAUGUGAAAGCCUUCGGCUUAACCGGAGUAGUGCAUUGGAAACUGGGAGACUUGAGUGCAGAAGAGGAGAGUGGAACUCCAUGUGUAGCGGUGAAAUGCGUAGAUAUAUGGAAGAACACCAGUGGCGAAAGCGGCUCUCUGGUCUGUAACCGACGCUGAGGUUCGAAAGCGUGGGUAGCAAACAGGAUUAGAUACCCGUGUAGUC